rnacentral:misc_RNA from 1 species
CUAAGGAAUAUUACGGAGACUACACAAUUUGUUUUUACUUUGUUCAGUUUUGAGAGGUUUACUCUCAAACACUUUUGUUCAUUGAAAACUGGAUAUUUGAAGUAAAUGUAAGUAAUACAAACCGAGAACACCGCGUUGAAUUUGAAAGCUGAACAAAUUGUUUAGCCUGAAGCAAAAUAGGCGGACGGCCAUAAAAUCUUUGAUUUUAUGAGACGAUCGAUCUUUUUGCCGUACAGGCUGAUUUGUGAGCUGGAUAGAGUUUUUUAAUAAGUUCAAUUGCUUAUUUUCUUGAUCUAACUUCUAUCGCUAGAAGAAGGAUCAAAACCCAACCGUAAGGUUGAUAA